rnacentral:rRNA from 1 species
AGAGUUUGAUCCUGGCUCAGAUUGAACGCUGGCGGCAUGCCUUACACAUGCAAGUCGAGCGGCAGCGCGGGGGCAACCCUGGCGGCGAGCGGCGAACGGGUGAGUAAUGCAUCGGAACGUGUCCUCUUGNUGGGGGAUAACCAGUCGAAAGACUGGCUAAUACCGCAUGAGAUCGAGAGAUGAAAGCAGGGGACCGCAAGGCCUUGCGCGAGAGGAGCGGCCGAUGCCGGAUUAGCUAGUUGGUGGGGUAACGGCCUACCAAGGCGACGAUCCGUAGCUGGUCUGAGAGGACGACCAGCCACACUGGGACUGAGACACGGCCCAGACUCCUACGGGAGGCAGCAGUGGGGAAUUUUGGACAAUGGGGGCAACCCUGAUCCAGCCAUGCCGCGUGUGUGAAGAAGGCCUUCGGGUUGUAAAGCACUUUCGGCCGGAACGAAAUCGCGCGGGUGAAUAUCCCGUGUGGAUGACGGUACCGGAAGAAGAAGCACCGGCUAACUACGUGCCAGCAGCCGCGGUAAUACGUAGGGUGCGAGCGUUAAUCGGAAUUACUGGGCGUAAAGUGUGCGCAGGUGGCCGCGCAAGUCGAGUGUGAAAUCCCCGAGCUUAACUUGGGAAUUGCGCUCGAAACUACGUGGCUCGAGUGUGGCAGAGGAAGGUGGAAUUCCACGUGUAGCGGUGA